UGACAAGCAGUUAAGUUCACACCAAACCUGCUAUUGCAAUCGCCGUGGUGGUAAAUUGGCUUUCUGCUCUGGCGCUGCUGGUGGUGAGAGCCUGUAAACCUCAUGACAUGUGAUCUUCUGACCUUCAACCCUUGCUAAUUAAUCGAUCGAUUGAUAUCCUGGCCAGUAAUAGCAGCUAUAGUCCAUAGGCUUAUGAAUAAAACAUAUUUGUGGCGUACGGAAAUAAAUCAGAACAAAAAUUA